AACGUAGGAGACAAACGUUAUCCGGAGUCACUGGGCGUAAAGGGCGUGCAGGCGGUCGACUAAGUCUGGCGUGAAAGCUCUCGGCUAAACCGGGAGAGGUCGUUGGAUACUGGUUGACUAGAGGACGGUAGAGGCGUGUGGAAUUCCGGGUGUAGUGGUGAAAUGCGUAGAGAUCCGGAGGAACACCAGUGGCGAAGGCGACACGCUGGGCCGUACCUGACGCUGAUACGCGACAGCAUGGGGAGCGAACGGG
rnacentral:rRNA from 1 species